CGGACGGGUGAGUAACGCGUGAGUAACCUGCCUUUCAGAGGGGGACAACAGUUGGAAACGACUGCUAAUACCGCAUAACAUAUACUAAUCGCAUGGUUGGUAUAUCAAAGACUUAUCGCUGAAAGAUGGACUCGCGUCUGAUUAGGUAGUUGGCGGGGUAACGGCCCACCAGGCCGACGAUCAGUAGCCGGACUGAGAGGUUGAACGGCCACAUUGGGACUGAGAUACGGCCCAGACUCCUACGGAAGGCAGCAG
rnacentral:rRNA from 1 species